rnacentral:rRNA from 1 species
UGGAAUAACACGAGGAAACUUGUGCUAAUACCGGAUAAGUCUUUACGGAGAAAGCUUUAUGCACCAUUGGAUGAGCCUGCACUUGAUUAGUUUGUUGGUGGGGUAAUGGCCUACCAAGACUGUGAUCAAUAGCUGAUUUGAGAGGAUGAUCAGCCACAUUGGGACUGAGACACGGCCCAAACUCCUACGGGAGGCAGCAGUGGGGAAUCUUGCACAAUGGAGGAAACUCUGAUGCAACGAUGCCGCGUGAGUGAAGAAGGCCCUUGGGUUGUAAAGCUCUUUCGUCGGGGAAGAAAAUGACUGUACCCGAAUAAGA